ensembl:lncRNA
AAAGGAGGAGCCUGGAAGCAAGCGCCUCUCACGCACGUGUUCGCAGGUGUUCGAACCUCCAGGCCCCAAGCCUUCCAAGGUGUGCGCCCGCUGGACGACGUGUGAAAGCAGCCACAGACAAGCACACUAAUGGAUGUGACUGUGUUCCAAUGAAACUUUAUGGACACUGUCUUCAGUAUGUCGUGCAGGACCCAGUUCCCUGACCAGGGAUCAAACCUGGGCCCCCUGAGUUGGGGUGCAGACUCUUAGCCAGUGGACCACCAGGCAAGUCCCACGCCCUCUUAUCUUCGUAACCUAGAACUGUCACUGCCUCUGCAACCCAAACCUCAGGUCCCAGUGGCCCAUGGAUGCAGGAUCCGGCUCUGCCUCCCAAACUAGAAUCUUGCUGGCCUGAGACCCUGACCUUGGCCACUUGACAGGCAUGGCUGUCCUGCUCCGCUCAGGCCCUCCCCACAAGAGCCUCACCUGUGCCAUCCGGAGACAAUGUCAUAACUCAGAGAAAUGAUGGGGAUUUCAGAUGCUUGAUAUGCUGGUGCGUGCUAAGGUGCUUCAGUCGUGUCCAACUCUUUGCGACGCUAGAGACUAUAGCCGCCAGGCUCCUCUGUCCAUGGGAUUCUCCAGGCAAGAACACUGGAGUGGGUUGCCUUUUCCUCUUCCAGGGCAUCUUCCUGAUCCAGGGAUCGAACUCACGUCUCUUAUGUCUCCUGCAUUGGCAGGUGGGUUCUUUACCACUAGUGCUGCCGGGGAGGCCUGUGUUCUUUCUACACACCUAUAAAUACAAUCCAUUACAGCUUGGUGAUAGGCGGGUGGCGAGCACACUGUGAGACAGUGAGGUCUUCGCCAUGCCUUCCAGCUAAACUGCACGAGGAGCUCGCGGAAGCAGUGGAGCAGCGCACUGUUGAAACCUGAAGAGCGAGCCCCUCACUCCCUUCCCCUGGGACCCCCAGUCAGCGUCCAGGCUGUGCUCCCUCGGUGGUCUGGGCUUUCUCAGAAGUGCCUGGGGACCGAGCACAGCCCCGCUAAGAAUCCUGUCUGCCCUCGGAAAACUCUGGGUCUCCAUCCUGAGGGCUCUGCUGGGGUGGGCACUCCCUCUGGCUCAUGUCUCUGAAUUCUUCAGCCACCAGGAUCACAGCUUACAGCUUCAGCCUGGGGCUGGCUCUGAUGACAGCUCCGCUUACGGGGGAAUUUGCCUCCUUACUCCUUCCAGGAAACCAGCUGGCCCACUGGGAAGGGAAGGGUUAGCAAUGGUCAAGUGACUGUUUUACUG